rnacentral:lncRNA from 1 species
UGGAUUAGGAUUACGUCGAAAGUCUGGGUCCACUGCUAGCUAGAUUUGAAACCUAAUGGAUUACACACUUCAGGAUUUGGCUUUGGUAUGAUCUAAUUAGAGUUUAAUAUAAAUUUUAUGGGUUAAUUUGAUAUGCUAGCAUAUUGUAUUAACCCAAGUUUCAAAUUGGUUUAGAUCAAAGUGUUUGAGCUAACCUAGACCAGCUGCCUUUGACCUAAUGGGAUUGGGUCAAUUUAAAUUGGAACCUUAUCCAACUUAAACCAAUUUUAAGUGGAGAAGGACUCCUCUGCACUCAC